UACGGGGGGGGCAAGCGUUGUUCGGAAUUACUGGGCGUAAAGGGUUCGUAGGCGGCCAACUAAGUCAGACGUGAAAUCCCUCGGCUUAACCGGGGAACUGCGUCUGAUACUGGAUGGCUAGAGGUUGGGAGAGGGAUGCGGAAUUCCAGGUGUAGCGGUGAAAUGCGUAGAUAUCGGGAGGAACACCAGUGGCGAAGGCGGCUUCCUGGCCUGUUCUUGACGCUGAGGCGCGAAAGCUAGGGGAGCAAACGGG
rnacentral:rRNA from 1 species